AGUUGCUUAAAUGUGCGAGGAAGGCCAUUCCGUAGCGCAUGGAACACAGACUCGGGACUGGAAGGAGGACACGACAUCAUGGCUGGCUUUCCUGAGCUAGCGUUAAUUUUUCACAAGGAGAACAUUGAGGUUUGACGAGAGAGGUACAGAAACCGUCAGCUGUCACUCAGGAAGGACCAGGCAGCCCUUUGGCUGCACAGUGGAGGGCCUGAAUUGUUAAUCAUUAAUGAGAGGCAUCAAACAGGAAGCUCAAGAAGGGUUCCUUUCCAAAUGGCUUUUGGAAAAAUGUAAAGAACCUCACGUCGUUGGACUGUGGAAUUCAUCCAGCCUCUGCAGCCCCUCCUGCCUUAGGCAGCUGUGAGCUUGGCAACCUCCCUCCCUUCAGGCAUCCCCCAGCACCCGGAGACAUCCGCUGUCUCUGACA